rnacentral:tRNA from 1 species
AGGGGAUAGCUCAAGUGGUAGAGCAUAUGCUUAGCAUGCAUGGGGUCCUGAGUUCAAUCCCCAGUACCUCUU